UACGUAGGGACCGAGCGUUGUCCGGAUUCAUUGGGCGUAAAGAGCUCGUAGGCGGCUGUUCAAGUCGAACGUGAAAACUCGGAGCUCAACUCCGAGCCUGCGUUCGAUACUGGACGGCUAGAGUCUGGUAGGGGGAUCUGGAAUUCCUGGUGUAGCGGUGGAAUGCGUAGAUAUCUGGAGGAACACCGGUGGCGAAGGCGGCAUCCUGGACCAAUAUUGACGCUGAGGAGCGAAAGCCAGGGGAGCAAACGGG
rnacentral:rRNA from 1 species